GUUAGGAAUAUUGGACAAUGGGCGCAAGCCUGAUCCAGCCAUGCCGCGUGAGUGAUGAAGGCCUUCGGGUUGUAAAGCUCUUUAGUCCACGAAUAUAAUGACUGUAGUGGAAGAAUAAGCCCCGGCUAACUUCGUGCCAGCAGCCGCGGUAAUACGAAGGGGGCGAGCGUUAUUCGGAAUCACUGGGCGUAAAGCGUGCGUAGGCUGUUUUGUAAGUCAGAAGUGAAAGCCCAGGGCUUAACCCUGGAAUUGCUUUUGAAACUACAAGACUCGAAUUCGGGAGAGGAUAGCGGAAUUGUCAGUGUAGCAGUGAAAUGCGUAGAUAUUGACAGGAACACCAGUGGCGCAAGCGGCUAUCUGGACCGAUAUUGACGCUGAGGCACGAAAGCUAGGGGAGCAAAAGGGAUUAGAAACCCUUGUAGUCC
rnacentral:rRNA from 1 species